AGAGCCAGAGACAGAGACAGAGACAGAGACAGAGACAGAGACAGAGACAGAGACAGAGACAGAGGCAGAGACAGAGGCAGAGACAGAGACACACAGAGACAGAGACAGAGACAGAGACAGAGACAGAGACAGAGACAGAGACAGAGGCAGAGACAGAGGCAGAGACAGAGACAGAGACAGAGGCAGAGACAGAGACAGAGACACACAGAGGCAGAGACAGAGACAGAGACACACAGAGGCAGAGACAGAGACAGAGACACACAGAGGCAGAGGCAGAGGCAGAGGCAGAGGCAGAGGCAGAGGCAGAGGCAGAGACAGAGACACACAGAGGCAGAGGCAGAGACAGAGACACGCAGAGGCAGAGACAGAGACACACAGAGACACACAGAGACACACAGAGACAGAGACAGAGACAGAGACAGAGGCAGAGGCAGAGACAGAGGCAGAGGCAGAGGCAGAGGCAGAGGCAGAGGCAGAGACAGAGGCAGAGACAGAGGCAGAGACAGAGACAGAGACAGAGACAGAGACACACAGAGACAGAGACAGAGACACACAGAGGCAGAGGCAGAGGCAGAGACAGAGACACGCAGAGGCAGAGACAGAGACACACAGAGACACACAGAGACAGAGACAGAGACAGAGACAGAGACAGAGACACACAGAGACAGAGACAGAGACAGAGACAGAGACAGAGACAGAGACAGAGGCAGAGGCAGAGGCAGAGACAGAGACAGAGACAGAGACAGAGACAGAGACAGAGACAGAGACAGAGGCAGAGGCAGAGGCAGAGGCAGAGACACACAGAGACAGAGACAGAGACAGAGACACACAGAGACAGAGACAGAGGCAGAGGCAGAGGCAGAGGCAGAGGCAGAGACAGAGACAGAGACAGAGACAGAGACAGAGACAGAGACAGAGACAGAGACAGAGGCAGAGGCAGAGGCAGAGGCAGAGGCAGAGACAGAGGCAGAGACAGAGGCAGAGACACACAGAGGCAGAGCGCUGCUGCUGCUGUUGGGGUGGGUUGACCUGUCUGUCUGUCUGUCUGUCUGUCUGUCUGUGGAGAUGAUGUGUGGACCUGUCUGUCUGUCUGUCUGUCUGUCUGUCUGUCUGCCUGUAGAGAUGAUGUGUGGACCUGUCUGUCUGUCUGUCUGUCUGUCUGUCUGCCUGUAG
rnacentral:lncRNA from 1 species